AUGAGCAGCCAUAUCACCCUGCAACUCACAACUGGCAACCCACUGAAGCUAAGCAGGUGUGAGACCAGCCAGUACAUGGAUGGGAGACCUCCUGGGAAAACUAAGGUUGCUGCUGGAA
rnacentral:rRNA from 1 species